GGAUGAACGCUAGCGGCAGGCCUAACACAUGCAAGUCGAACGGUAACAUGAGAGCUUGCUCUUGAUGACGAGUGGCGCACGGGUGCGUAACGCGUAUGCAACCUACCUUUAACUGGGGAAUAGCCUUUAGAAAUGAAGAAUAAUACCCCAUAAUAUUUCUCAAUGGCAUCAUUGAGUUCUUAAAGCUUCGGCGGUUAAAGAUGGGCAUGCGUUCUAUUAGUUAGUUGGUGAGGUAAUGGCUCACCAAGACUCCGAUAGAUAGGGGGCCUGAGAGGGUUAUCCCCCACACUGGUACUGAGACACGGACCAGACUCCUACGGGAGGCAGCAGUGAGGAAUAUUGGUCAAUGGACGAAAGUCUGAACCAGCCAUGCCGCGUGCAGGAUGAAUGCCCUACGGGUUGUAAACUGCUUUUAUAUAGGAAGAAACCCGAGAACGUGUUCUCGGCUGACGGUACUAUACGAAUAAGGACCGGCUAACUCCGUGCCAGCAGCCGCGGUAAUACGGAGGGUCCAAGCGUUAUCCGGAUUCAUUGGGUUUAAAGGGUCCGUAGGCGGGAAAAUAAGUCAGUGGUGAAAUCCUGCAGCUCAACUGUAGAACUGCCAUUGAAACUGUUUUUCUUGAGUAUAGAUGAAGUGGGCGGAAUGUGUCAUGUAGCGGUGAAAUGCAUAGAUAUGACACAGAACACCGAUUGCGAAGGCAGCUCACUAAACUAUUACUGACGCUGAGGGACGAAAGCGUGGGGAGCGAACAGGAUUAGAUACCCUGGUAGUCCACGCCGUAAACGAUCAUCACUCGCUGUUGGCGAUACACAGUCAGCGGCCAAGCGAAAGCAUUAAGUGAUGCACCUGGGGAGUACGGUCGCAAGAUUGAAACUCAAAGGAAUUGACGGGGGCCCGCACAAGCGGUGGAGCAUGUGGUUUAAUUCGAUGAUACGCGAGGAACCUUACCAGGGCUUAAAUGCAGAAUGACAGGAUGGGAAACCAUUUUUUCUUCGGACAUUUUGCAAGGUGCUGCAUGGUUGUCGUCAGCUCGUGCCGUGAGGUGUCAGGUUAAGUCCUAUAACGAGCGCAACCCCUAUCUUUAGUUGCUAACAGGUUAAGUGGGGACUCUAAGAAAACUGCCGGCGCAAGCCGCGAGGAAGGUGGGGACGACGUAAAGUCAUCACGGCCCUUACGUCCUGGGCCACACACGUGCUACAAUGGCGAGUACAGAGGGCAGCUACCUGGUGACAGGAUGCUAAUCUCAAAAACUCGUCUCAGUUCGGAUCGAAGUCUGCAACUCGACUUCGUGAAGCUGGAAUCGCUAGUAAUCGCGCAUCAGCCAUGGCGCGGUGAAUACGUUCCCGGGCCUUGUACUCACCGCCC
rnacentral:rRNA from 1 species